UUCAUCAUUUUUAUAUCUAAGUCAUAAGAUUAAUACUAGGGCCAUGAAUAAUUAAAUUGUGGAUGGCACACAUCAGACCAUAUGAACUAAUUUAAUUAAUGGUCUAUUAGCAACAAUUUCGUUAUUGAGAAAGUUUAUUUGAAGUUGCGCAAACGCAUACUCCAAAUUAGUUUUUAAAAUUAUAAUCAUGUCAUACGACCGUGUACACAAUCACAAUUGUGUAACAAACGUGCCUAAAGAAAACUCGGGCAUUCAAGGUUCUUAAAAUUAAUCUAAGAUAAAACUAUUUAAUAGAGCAAUACCAAUAAAAUGGGAGAGUAAAACAUUAAUUGCUCCUAAAUUUCGAGCAAAUAGCAUAUUAUGCAGACACUCUUACAUCAGGACCAGUAAUUAAGCCAAAUUGGUAUCGUCUUGCCAAUCUUCAAUUGGCUGAAUGACAAACUCUCUUGAACAAUACUUUAGGAUGCCUUCUGGAGUUCACCAAAUUCAUCAUUAUGCAAUACCAUGUAAAACACUUGUACCAGCUAUACUUCACCCACACAAAGACUUGAUGCAAGAACUCAAUCAACAAUAAUAUAAAUGAGAUUCAGGUCCACCUUCUACAAAACUUUUUCAAAUCAACCCUCAACAGAAAAUCGACCCGAUAACAUUCCAGCUAGUCUGAAUCGGAAAUAAAGGACCAAAUUUAUAACAUGACCAAACCAAUAUGGAAUUCCUAUUGUAAGCAAAGAAAAUAGUUCAAAGUAUCAAAUAGAAACUGGAAAUGAGUCGGAAUGGAUGCAGUCUAACAAGAAGAGUUCCUGCGUCGAACAUUUAUUUAAUCUUGUUCGGAGGCUAUUUGAACUUGAAACAUAGAACAAACGAGAUAAUAACAAUUGAAAUCGUAAUCGCGAACUCGAGUCACAAGCGACAACCAAAAACUUCGAAACAGAACACCACCGGAGCUCGAUCUAACUCCAUUCUUUAGAUUAAAAUCAGAAGAAAAUGGAUUGCGUGUUUGUGAAUUUUUCCUAAUCUUUCUGUUCGAAGCUUCAACUUUUUUUUCUUGUUGUUGUUUAGGUACGUGUGUGUGGAAGAUGAGAAGCGGCUGGUUUUGAUUCAAGCGAACUAGGUUAAUGGGAGGAAGAAGAGGGUUGUCGUUUGGGUUCUGCGACUGGUUGUGUUCGUGGUUAAAGAAGAUGAAGUCGGGGUUCUAUUUUAGUCCAGAAAAAGUCAUGGAUGGCUGCUUGAAGAAGAUGAAGCAGAGGGUGAGGUUCGAUAUAAUGGAAAGUUGCACUAAUUUCUUUUGUCGUGGCAUCGUCCCUUUUUGAGUAGGUUUUUUUGUGUUCCUUCAUAGGUAGAGUCUAUGUUUAGGGUUUAUUUUGCAAAUUAGUCCCUAGGUUUUUUGUAUUAAGUACUUAGGGUCUUUUAUUUAUUUUGUCCCAAAGAAGUGUCUAGAAGGGUCGCUA
rnacentral:lncRNA from 1 species